rnacentral:rRNA from 1 species
ACGAAGGGGGCUAGCGUUGUUCGGAAUCACUGGGCGUAAAGCGCAUGCAGGCGGAUCGUUAAGUCGGGGGUGAAAUCCCGAGGCUCAACCUCGGAACUGCCUUCGAUACUGGCGAUCUUGAGUCCGGGAGAAGUGAGUGGAACUGCGAUUGUAGAGGUGAAAUUCGUAGAUAUUCGCAAGAACACCAGUGGCGAAGGCGGCCAUCUGGACAGAUACUGACGCUGAGACGCGAAAGCGUGGGGAGCAAACAGGA